CGAGCGAGCUUGCCUAUUGAAAUUCUUCGGAAUGGACAUAGAUACAAGCUAGCGGCGGAUGGGUGAGUAACGCGUGGUAACCCUGCCCUUAAGUCUGGGAUACCAUUUGGAAACAGAUGCUAAUACCGGAUAAAAGCUACUUUCGCAUGAAAGAAGUUUAAAAGGCGGCGUAAAGCUGUCGCUAAAGGAUGGACCUGCGAUGCAUUAGCUAGUUGGUAAAGGGUAAACGGGCUUACCAAGGGCGAUGAUGCAUAGCCGAGUUGAGAGACUGAUCGGCCACAUUGGGACUGAGACACGGCCCAAACUCCUACGGGAGGCAGCAGUAGGGAAUCUUCCACAAUGGACGCAAGUCUGAUGGAGCAACGCCGCGUGAGUGAAGUAAGGUUUUCGGAUCGUAAAGCUCUGUUGUUGGUGAAGAAGGAUAGAGGUAGUAACUGGCCUUUAUUUGACGGUAAUCAACCAGAAAGUCACGGGCUAACUACGUGCCAGCAGCCGCGGUAAAU
rnacentral:rRNA from 1 species